AAGAAGAGCUGGCCGACGAGGAUGAGGAGAAGGCGGGAUGCGAGGUGCUUGCACGCGCAGCAGCAGGAGGCCGUCCAUGAGGUGCUCCUCUGGAUGCUCCCUUCCGGCGUUGGGCCUAGGUGUUCAACACCGCCCUCACCAUCCCCUUCUUCCAUUGGCUCAUCGGCCCGUCAGAGGUUAUUGAGGUGGAGGUCAACGGUGUGAGGCGGAGAAGUGGAGUGCUUAUAAAGAAACACAGCUGCUGCCUGGAUUCGCCGCUGCCGCCUCCAGUCGCUUCCUCCUGGGCAUCCCGUCUCUAGCAAGGUAGUUCCGUUCCGGUCCCAGCUGUUCUCCUAGCCUCCGUG